GAGAGUUUGAUCCUGGCUCAGGAUGAACGCUGGCGGCGUGCUUAACACAUGCAAGUCGAACGAAGCACUUUAUUUGAUUUUCUUCGGAAAUGAAGAUUUUGUGACUGAGUGGCGGACGGGUGAGUAACGCGUGGAUAACCUGCCUCAUACAGGGGGAUAACAGCCGGAAACGGCUGCUAAUACCGCAUAAGCGCACGGUACCGCAUGGUACAGUGUGAAAAACUCCGGUGGUAUGGGAUGGAUCCGCGUCUGAUUAGCCAGUUGGCGGGGUAACGGCCCACCAAAGCGACGAUCAGUAGCCGACCUGAGAGGGUGACCGGCCACAUUGGGACUGAGACACGGCCCAAACUCCUACGGGAGGCAGCAGUGGGGAAUAUUGCACAAUGGGGGAAACCCUGAUGCAGCGACGCCGCGUGAGCGAAGAAGUAUUUCGGUAUGUAAAGCUCUAUCAGCAGGGAAGAAGAAAUGACGGUACCUGACUAAGAAGCCCGGCUAAUA
rnacentral:rRNA from 1 species